CCAGAGGAAGGAUGCCUCUCUGUCCCUGGCAGGGUAGGGCAGGGCUGGGAGAAAUCUCCCAAUUAUAAAUUUAAGAAAACACAAGUCAAGCAGCUGAGGGCUCCGUUCCUACCACUCAAGCCCCACACCCAGCUCCCCGGGAGCCCAGCUGCUGAGGGCACCUCCAGCAGGUCCGAGACACAGACCAGCCUCCUCUGCAGGGGACGACGGGAAGGGGGGUGCAGCACGGUCACCUGGGAUGGCACCAGCCCCGCUGACUCAAACCCUAGGACUCCAGCAGACUCGUGCUCAGGGGCAGGAAGUGCCAGAAGUGGACACAGAAAGGAAGAGAGGAAACCCAUCCACUGGAAAGCCUCCGCAGUCGGGGGCUCUUCGGUGAGGGGACCAAGAACCUCACUUACCCUGACUCCCCCUGAAAACACCAUUGCAUCGCGGUAGAGUCACUUUUCUCCAUAACGACAAUCCAAGACAUGGUGCCAAGGCGAAAAGCACAUUUACCGUAUUGUUCUCUAGGCAGAGAAAUAAACAGAAGACUGCAGACGCUCACGUGACUUGCUCAUUCACUGCUGAAGGAAGUUCUCCGGGGCAGGUCGGCCCCUGAAGAAAGGCCUAUAGUUCUUCGAGGGUCAGUGCAACUCAGGAGGUGCCCAAGAGGGACUCUGAGUGCGGCCACGGGUCAGGCCAAGCUCGCCAGCGUGGUUACUGGUAACGAGGGAGGAGUUCUGCUCUCUGGGGUCCAGCUCUCAAGCAGUUCAAGACCCCAGGAGAGGAAAAGAGAAGAAAUUAUGUAGUGGCCAUCUAAAGCUUAAGAAUAGCUACGGUUACCAUUAAAGAAAAAACUUUAAAGGGGUGCGGCCCAGUUACCCGGAAAGAGUCGAUUCAUUCCUUCUAUGAUACCAGAUAAAGAGAUAGUUUACUUCCUUUCCUGUUUCAAGAGGGCCCCCAGCCCUCAGAUUCCAGGAAAUUGGCAGUAACUCUGUCCAUAGCUGCAGUUUCCUUACUUUUAGUGACAGCCCCUUGGGCUGCUUAAACAACGGCCCCCCUCUGAGAGCUGGGGGACACUGUCUGGCAGGGCUGUCCCAGGGAAGCAGGCCUGGGGAGGCCUUGGUGGCCCACAUCUGCCACCUGAUCUGACCGGCAAAGGAGACCUAACCCAGCGGAAGCUCCCAACUCCCUCAGAGUUCACGCCAAGGUAGCCCUUAGAGAAGAAACAAUGAGGCCAUCCUAACCUUCAACAUUCAGAGGGCAUUCUCACAACCGCUAUUUUUCUGUGUGGCAGACCCAGCAAGAAGCUGUAUUCCCAUUUUAAGCUAAGCUAUGGAAGUUCCAAGGGAGGAAGAGAUUUCCACAGGAUCACAAGUGCUGGUGAGAAGCAAACCUGAGGGAGAGGAGAGCUGAGGACCUCUGGUCCCAGGCCAAAGAGCCCCCAGCGACCACUAAACCACUUCGGCUGAAUGGAGACGUAGGGCCUCCACGUGACGUGAGUGUUCUCCAGAAAUACAAACAAGAAGGCAUCAUGGAAGAGCAAAGAAGCAGUCGCCUACUUAUUUCUAUUCCCUAAAUUAAAAUGUCCCAGCCUUCUCUGAAUGGCCCUCAUUUUGUCCUCCUUCUUCCCCUCCACCCUGGGUCUCCUGGACCCACACUGUUUCCCCCUCUCCUCCUCUUG
ensembl:lncRNA